rnacentral:rRNA from 1 species
GACGGGACCGCACAAGCGGUGGAUGAUGUGGUUAAUUCGAUGCAACGCGAAAACCUUACCACCUUUGACAUGGCAGGAAUCCUAAAGAGAUUUUGGAGUGCUCGAAAGAGAACCUGCACACAGGUGCUGCAUGGCUGUCGUCAGCUCGUGUCGUGAGAUGUUGGGUUAAGUCCCGCAACGAGCGCAACCCUUGUCAUUAGUUGCUACGAAAGGGCACUCUAAUGAGACUGCCGGUGACAAACCGGAGGAAGGUGGGGAUGACGUCAAGUCCUCAUGGCCCUUAUAGGUGGGGCUACACACGUCAUACAAUGGCUGGUACAAAGGGUUGCCAACCCGCGAGGGGGAGCCAAUCCCAUAAAGCCAGUCGUAGUCCGGAUCGCAGUCUGCAACUCGACUGCGUGAAGUCGGAAUCGCUAGUAAUCGUGGAUCAGCAUGUCACGGUGAAUACGUUCCCGGGUCUU